AGUCGAACGGUAACAGGUCUUCGGAUGCUGACGAGUGGCGAACGGGUGAGUAAUACAUCGGAACGUGCCCGAUCGUGGGGGAUAACGAGGCGAAAGCUUUGCUAAUACCGCAUACGAUCUACGGAUGAAAGCGGGGGAUCUUCGGACCUUGCGCGGACGGAGCGGCCGAUGGCAGAUUAGGUAGUUGGUGGGAUAAAAGCUUACCAAGCCGACGAUCUGUAGCUGGUCUGAGAGGAUGAUCAGCCACACUGGGACUGAGACACGGCCCAGACUCCUACGGGAGGCAGCAGUGGGGAAUUUUGGACAAUGGGCGAAAGCCUGAUCCAGCCAUGCCGCGUGCAGGAUGAAGGCCUUCGGGUUGUAAACUGCUUUUAUACGGAACGAAAAGCCUCUUUCUAAUAAAGAGGGGUCAUGACGGUACCGUAAGAAUAAGCACCGGCUAACUACGUGCCAGCGGCCGCGGUAAUACGUAGGGUGCAAGCGUUAA
rnacentral:rRNA from 1 species